GGUGUGAUGGACCCAGGCCAGUUGGGAACAGCAGAGUAGAAAGGAGAUAUUCUGGCCACUAGAUAAGCAGUUUUCUGUUCCCUGAGUGAGAACAGGGGCUGCUCCAGGCUAAUGAGAA